UCCGGUUUGUCACCGGCAGUUUCCCAUGCAUGUCAAGCCUAGGUAAGGUUCUUCGCGUUGCGUCGAAUUAAACCACAUGCUCCACCGCUUGUGCGGGCCCCCGUCAAUUCCUUUGAGUUUCAGCCUUGCGGCCGUACUCCCCAGGCGGGGUACUUCCUGCGUUAGCGCCGGCACCCAAGGGGUCGCUCCCCCAGGCACCUAGUACCCAUCGUUUACGGCGUGGACUAC
rnacentral:misc_RNA from 1 species